UUCUAUUUCCCUAUAUUUGGCAGUUUUUUCUCUCUUCUUCUUCACCACUUUGCUCCACCUUCUUGCAUUUUCUCCAUUAUUCCUUUUUCUUUUCGUUUUCUUUCAGAUUCGUCUCCACGACUGCUACUUAUUUAUACUGAGAUGCGCAAUUCAUCAAUCUGUUCUGUUUAUUUUAUCUGUUAAUGAGGAAGAAAUAUGUUGGUCAUAAACCAGAUAGAAAUCAAUCUUCGGUUGAUACACGCUCCGAAAUGUUAAAUCUUGAUAAUGUUGGUGAUGAGUGUAUGUCUAGGCGAAUUGAGGACUUACCUGCUGUUGAGACGAAUGGAGUAGUUGAGUCGUCCGAGUUAUUUGAAAUUGCUUUAAAUAAGGAAGAGGACGCUGCACAACAACCCAUUUCUGUUGAAAAAAAGGACUAUGUCUUGUAGCCCAUUAUUCCAGAAAAGUCGGAGGAAGCAUUGGACAUUGCUACUAAACUGCCACGAGCAAAACAUACAAAAUCGAUGAUUAUUGAAAGUCGGUUAAAAAAUGUCUCUCCCGAUGUUGAUCAGGACAUAAUAGCACCAGAAACUGUUGUAAUUGAAUCACAACGGUCUAAUCAAGAAUUAUCGAAACCGGCUUCUCGAUCUUCAAAGUGUUUAAAGAAUAUUGAAACUCCUUCGUUUGUUUCAGAUAUGGCUAAACUAAAGGCAUCAUAUACUACCAAAAAAACAAGCCAAGCAAGUUUCCGACGAAACUAAUAUGAAAGAUAAUAGUGUUGAUGAAGUUGGCGUACCGGAUGUAGAAAUACAGAAGAAGCCUCGUUGUAAUGCGAAGAGGAAAGUGACAUGUGAAUCAACUGAUGACGAUAGCGGUGCGGAUAAAAUUGCUAAGCAAUCGCCAAUUAAUAAGAAAAUUAGCAAGUCUGUUUCUGGAUCGAAGAGAAAACCUUCCACUUAAAUUUAUGAUGAUGAAAGUGUGGUGGUUGAUAAAAUUAC